GCCGAGUUAGCCAACUCGGUUAAGGCGCCGCAAUUGCAAUGUAGCAGUGACUCCUACGGCGCGGGUUCGAUCCCCGGUCGGCA